AUUGAACGCUGGCGGCAGGCCUAACACAUGCAAGUCGAGCGGAUGAAGGGAGCUUGCUCCUGGAUUCAGCGGCGGACGGGUGAGUAAUGCCUAGGAAUCUGCCUGGUAGUGGGGGAUAACGUCCGGAAACGGGCGCUAAUACCGCAAACGUUCUGAGGGAGAAAGUGGGGGAUCUUCGGACCUCACGCUAUCAGAUGAGCCUAGGUCGGAUUAGCUAGCUGGUGGGGUAAAGGCCUACCAAGGCGACGAUCCGUAACUGGUCUGAGAGGAUGAUCAGUCACACUGGAACUGAGACACGGUCCAGACUCCUACGGGAGGCAGCAGUGGGGAAUAUUGGACAAUGGGCGAAAGCCUGAUACAGCCAUGCCGCGUGUGUGAAGAAGGUCUUCGGAUUGUAGAGCACUUUAAGUUGGGAGGAAGGGCAGUAAGUUAAUACCUUGCUGUUUUGACGUUACCAACAGAAUAAGCACCGGCUAACUUCGUG
rnacentral:rRNA from 1 species